GGUAAAUCUCGUGCCAGCCACCGCGGUCACACAAGAGACCCAAGCUAAUCGUUUGCGGCGUAAAGAGUGGACUCAUGCUUAUCACACUAAUUAAGGUCAAAACGCAACUGAGCUGUCAUAAGCCUAAGAUGCAUUUAAAACCGCCCUAAAGACGACCCUAAAUUCACAAGACUUAAUGAACUCCACGAAAGCCAGGGCACAAACUGGGAUUAGAUACCCCACUAUGCCUGGCCCUAAAUCUUGAUGCUCUAUAUAACCAAAGCAUCCGCCUGAGAACUACGAGCACAAACGCUUAAAACUCUAAGGACUUGGCGGUGCCCCAAACCCACCUAGAGGAGCCUGUUCUGUAAUCGAUACUCCACGAUACACCCGACCACUUCUUGCCAUGGACAGCCUACAUACCGCCGUCGCCAGCUCACCUCCUCUGAGAGCACUACAGUGAGCACAACCGCCCUAACCCCGCUAACAAGACAGGUCAAGGUAUAGCUUAUGAAGUGGAAGAAAUGGGCUACAUUUUCUAAUCUAGAAAAUCCCACGAAAAGGGGCAUGAAAUAGCCCCUAGAAGGCGGAUUUAGCAGUAAAGAGGGAUAAUAUAAGCCCCCUUUAAGCUGGCUCUGGGGCACGUACAUACCGCCCGUCACCCUCCUCAUAAGCUCUAAACUACCAAUAAAUAAUACUCCUACCUGCUAAAGAUGAGGUAAGUCGUAACAAGGUAAGCAUACUGGA
rnacentral:rRNA from 1 species